rnacentral:rRNA from 1 species
GGGCUUAAAGUCUUGUAAUUGGAAUGAUGGGAAUUUAAACCUCUUCCAGAGUAUCAAUUGGAGGGCAAGUCUGGUGCCAGCAGCCGCGGUAAUUCCAGCUCCAAUAGCGUAUAUUAAAAUUGUUGCAGUUAAAAAGCUCGUAGUUGAAUUUCUGCUGCAUUGCUUGUGUCCCUCUGGGGUCUGUGCAUGUGGCUUUUUUCGGACGGAGUUUCUUUGUCUGAAUGUUUACUUUGAGAAAAUUAGAGUGCUCAAAGCAGGCUUUCGCCUUGAAUAGUUUAGCAUGGAAUAAUAAAGUAGGACUUUGGUUCUAUUUUGUUGGUUUUAGGUACCAAAGUAAUGGUUAAUAGGAACAGUUGGGGGCAUUCGUAUUUAACUGUCAGAGGUGAAAUUCUUAGA